rnacentral:lncRNA from 1 species
AGAUUCCAAUGUCACUAACGGUUUUCUGAGGGAGUUGGAAAGAGAUAAGAGAGAGACCUUGGGGAACAAUUUUAAAGUGGCUCAAUAGCGAUCGCAGAGCCAAACUCAUACCUACAUCAAUGUGGUGCAGAGAAUCUCUAAGAAUUUUUAAUGCUGAAUUGGAGCAAAGAAACUUCAAGGAGGAAGCAAAGUGAAGAACACAGAUUUCACAGAUGGGAUGCCUGGCUCAAAUUCCAGCUUGACCGCUGGUAGCUGUGUGACCCUCGGCAAGUUACUUGACCUCUCUCUACUCAGUGUCCUCAUCUGUCAGUGUAAUAUGAAUCAGAAAACAUGAACUCAGACUGAUGCUGGAAGCCACCUUAUGACUAUAAGCAGAAUCAGCCUCGUUAUGACGUUGAUGCUAUAAGCAACGGACUGAAAGAUACAAAGAGCAAGCAGACAGGAUGAAAUGCGUAAAUGGCGACAGUAGAGCCAGCCUUCAUGAAUCCAGAAAUGUGAGCCACAUUUUGAGGAUAGCAGAGUCACUGCAGAAGCCUGGAUCCUUGCAUAACCUUGUCGAGUGGGAAAAUCUACCCAUACUUGACCAACCACCUAACUGGGGGCUCUACAUCUGAGAGAAAUGAUUUUUUAUCUUAUUUAAGCCACUGUAGUUAGGAGUCAGUUUAUUACAGGACAUUGCCUGGUGUUCCAACAAAUAAACUACCUUAUUUGUUUCAAUAAAUAAA